rnacentral:rRNA from 1 species
GAUGAACGCUGACAGAAUGCUUAACACAUGCAAGUCCUUGGCUAAGCUGCGCUUGCGCAGUCUAGCCAAGGCGGACGGGUGAGUAACGCGUAAGGAACUUGCCCUGCAGACAGGGAUAACAGACGGAAACGACUGAUAACACCUGGUAUUGUCAGGCUGGCGCAUGCCGGCCUGAUGAAAGGAGACGCUGCAGGAGAGCCUUGCGUCCUAUUAGCUAGUUGGUGGGGUAACGGCCCACCAAGGCGAUGAUAGGUAGCCGGCCUGAGAGGGUGAACGGCCACAAGGGGACUGAGAUACGGCCCUUACUCCUACGGGAGGCAGCAGUGGGGAAUAUUGGACAAUGAGGGCAACGUUGUUCCAGAAAUUCUGUGUGGACGAAGAAGGUUUGCGGAUUGUAAAGUGCUUUCAGCAGGGAAGAAGAAAGUGACGGUACCUGCAGAAGAAGCGACGGCUAAAUACGUG